GUUGUGAUGCUUUCUUCUCCGCGCUUCCAGCUCUCCUCCCCUCCAAACCCUGCUGUGGGGAGCAGGAUGCGGGCAGCAUCACCGCGGAUCAGCCAAUCAGAG